GAUGAACGCUGACAGAAUGCUUAACACAUGCAAGUCGAUGGGGAAGUGGUGCUUGCACCAUGGUAACCAUGGCGGACGGGUGAGUAACACGUAAGGAACUUACCUGCGGGACCGGGAUAACAGCAGGAAACUGCUGACAAGACCGGAUAAGGUCAUUAAGCUGCAUAGCUUAGUGAUGAAAGGAGACGCCUGCGGAGAGCCUUGCGUCCUAUUAGCUAGUUGGAGGGGUAACGGCCCACCAAGGCGAAGAUAGGUAGCCGGCCUGAGAGGGUGGACGGCCACAAGGGGACUGAGAUACGGCCCUUACGCCUACGGGAGGCAGCAGUGGGGAAUAGUGGACAAUGGGGGCAACCCUGAUCCAGCAAUUCUGUGUGCACGAAGACGGUUUUCGGAUUGUAAAGUGCUUUCAGCAGGGAAGAAGGAAGUGACGGUACCUGCAGAAGAAGCGACGGCUAAAUACGUG
rnacentral:rRNA from 1 species